AUUGAACGCUGGUGGCAGGCCUAACACAUGCAAGUCGAACGAGUGGCGGAUGGGUGAGUAAUGUCUGGGAAACUGCCUGAUGGAGGGGGAUAACUACUGGAAACGGUAGCUACUACCGACUACCAUUAGAUGUGCCCAGAUGGGAUUAGCUAGUUGGUGGGGUAACGGCUAACCAAGGCGACGAUCCCUAGCUGGUCUGAGAGGAUGACCAGCCACACUUGAGCGUAGACACGGUCCAGACUCCGACGGGAGGCAUCAGUAGGGAAUAUUGCGCAAUGGGCGGAAGCCUGAUGCAGCCAUGCGGGGUGUGUGAAGAAGGCCUUCGGGGUGUAAAGUACUGUCAGCGGGGAGGCGUUACCCACAGAAGAAGCACCGGCUAACUCCGUGCCAGCCGCCGCGGUAAUAC
rnacentral:rRNA from 1 species